UACUGGCAAGCUUGAGUCUCGUAGAGGGGGGUAGAAUUCCAGGUGUAGCGGUGAAAUGCGUAGAGAUCUGGAGGAAUACCGGUGGCGAAGGCGGCCCCCUGGACGAGACUGACGCUCAGGUGCGAAAGCGUGGGGAGCAAACAGGAUUAGAUACCCUGGUAGUCCACGCCGUAAACGAUGUCGACUUGGAGGUUGUGCCCUUGAGGCGUGGCUUCCGGAGCUAACGCGUUAAGUCGACCGCCUGGGGAGUACGGCCGCAAGGUUAAAACUCAAAUGAAUUGACGGGGGCCCGCACAAGCGGUGGAGCAUGUGGUUUAAUUCGAUGCAACGCGAAGAACCUUACCUGGUCUUGACAUCCACGGAAGUUUUCAGAGAUGAGAAUGUGCCUUCGGGAACCGUGAGACAGGUGCUGCAUGGCUGUCGUCAGCUCGUGUUGUGAAAUGUUGGGUUAAGUCCCGCAACGAGCGCAACCCUUAUCCUUUGUUGCCAGCGGUCCGGCCGGGAACUCAAAGGAGACUGCCAGUGAUAAACUGGAGGAAGGUGGGGAUGACGUCAAGCCAUCAUGGCCCUUACGACCAGGGCUACACACGUGCUACAAUGGCGCAUACAAAGAGAAGCGACCUCGCGAGAGCAAGCGGACCUCAUAAAGUGCGUCGUAGUCCGGAUUGGAGUCUGCAACUCGACUCCAUGAAGUCGGAAUCGCUAGUAAUCGUGGAUCAGAAUGCCACGGUGAAUACGUUCCCGGGCCUUGUACACACCGCCCGUCACACCAUGGGAGUGGGUUGCAAAAGAAGUAGGUAGCUUAACCUUCGGGAGGGCGCUUACCACUUUGUGAUUCAUGACUGGGGUGAAGUCGUAACAAGGUAACCA
rnacentral:rRNA from 1 species